ensembl:lncRNA
CUCUCCUAACAAGACCAGGUUUUCUCCAGAAGGUUUGCCAGUUAUCUCUGAAGCCCACAUCGUUUCUUGGACACCACUCAGACAGCCAGUGUAACGAUGUCAAAGAAUUAACAUGGUUUUGUUAUGUUUAAAUUCCUGUUAAACUUGGGAUCGCAACCAUGGAUUUAUUUUGAAUGAUUUGGUUCUGAAACUUUUAUUUUGAAAAUCCACAACGGAAGUCUGCUACUGGUAAACUGGUUUUCCCAAAGCUUAUCCGUUUAGUAGCAACGAAAGUAACUGAGUAGAUUUCGGUUUUAUGAUCUUGUUUUGAAAUUAAUGGGUUAGACGGUAGAACAAAAAUGGACACGCUGAGCUAGCGGCUAACAGCUAGAGGAGACUGUUGUGUCUAAUAAUUUGAAACUUCCUUUGAUAGUUUGGGCGGAAUCCUGUUGCUGGAAACCCGUGGUUAUUCAUGUCCCAUGUUAUUGCAGAGACCCUCAAAAGGGGGAAUAAACCACACCUGAGCUCUACCCAUCUCGAGUCCAGAGAGUUUUACUCAUACAGCACCAGAAAUAGACACUGAGAGGGGUUACACCAGCAAUUUAAGAAGAACAUGCAGCUAAACAUGUCACUCCUUCUCUGAUUGGGGAGGGGACCAUAGAAAACAACAGGCAUCACGGCAGCAUCUUAGUACCAUCUAAGUAUGUUUCUUUAAGUGUGAGGUGAAUGGUGAUAAUGUCAUGUUUGGAGUUGGUUCAAGUGUGGACCCAAAAGCAGACAGAGAAGGAGGCAGAUUGCAAAGUGAAGCAAAACUCAUGAGACAAGAGCUUCCAAAAUAAACCAGGAAAUAACUAAAGCAUGAGAACAUCUUACACGGAGAUGGUGAAUUAACAAAACAGGGAAGGUGGUAUAGACUGAAACAGUGACUAUAAUCAAACUAUAACCAAGAACUAAACCUGCAAAACUGUAAAUAAGAAUAGCCCAAGGAUGAAAACACGAAACUAACCAUGAAUAUUUGCAAUAGAAAACUCCAAAAACUUAAAGCACAAUAACACAGGAUGCCCAAAAAUAAACAUAAAAGCAAAUGACAUGAUUUUAACUAGCUGUCUCUCCAGCAAUAUUUUAUAUUGUGAAUGUAUUGUGGAAGCUGUCCCCAAAUCUUAGAUGAAUUAAUAAGAUGUCAUUAAUACAGCAGUAGGCCCAGGCUAUAACUAAACAAUGGACACACCAUACAGUUUAUCCUACAUACUUUGCUUUGAAAUGACGACUGGUUCAGUUUUGUUGAAUUCCCAUUUCCCGACUCCGCACUCCUUUGCUUGUAUUUCUGAAGAUGUAGAACUGUGAAGAGAGAAUGGGGGGACUGAGAAACAACAAGGGAAAAACAGAAGUGCAAAAUGCUAACCAGUGUCUUAUUUUAAUAAUAUUUUAGUAAUAUCUUUGACAGCCCAUGCUGCUCAUAUGCAGAGGAAUUUGGCUGAAAGUCUUUUCUCCUCAGCGCAUCUCUCCAUCAGUAUUUUCUAACUGUAUCUUUGGGAAAUAUAAAUAUGCAAAACAAGUCCAUCUGAACAACACUAUGCAGGUCUGUGUGUCUUCAUAGCUCCAAAUCAUGUUAACUUAGUGUGUGCAAAGUAACUGGAACAACAGAACAUAGCUGUCAAACAAAACCCAGUCAAACAGACUAUUUAAUAGCCAAAUCUAGAAAUGAACACACACACAAAAUACAGCACUUACUUUCUUUCUAUGUCAAAAUAAAAGCAAUACAAAAACAACGUCUCAUCAUUGCACUGUUUUAUGCUUUAUAUGUAAUAAUGGCCAUAACUCCUAGCAGCUAAUAGCCAUACUUUAGGAUAACCUCUCGAAGUAAAGCUGAAAGUCUGUGCAUAAAUCACAUAUUGACUGAAGAAGUAUGCAUUUAAAUCAGUCAUUUAAUCAAAUCAAAUUUGAUUAUUGGUCACAUUUAAGUAUAAACAGAUAUGAAAGAACGUCCUUGGCUCACACUGGAUGUGCAUGAAGUGUUCUGAAGUCUGCCACAUAUAAAAUAACACAUUUAUGCUUUUCACCUGUCUCUUGGUGUGAUUUCCUGCUGUCUCGACGUAAAGACAAACUUACACGUCUUUGUUUCAGAGGAUCUCCAACACCGUCUGGGUUUACAGCUGUGUCAUCCAGAAAACCACAGUUUGUGUCCCCAUCUGAGCUUUUAUUCUGCCCGUGAGUUUCGUUUUGAGUCGCUGUAACGGGACAUGUUAUGUCCCGUGUGCUUUUUUGUGCUUUUUUUAAACUUAAUGUUUUGGGGUUGUUUCACCAGCUAUUUAUUUCCGCUUUCAGAGUUAGUCAUUUGAGCUGUUUGCAAAGGUCGAGGCAUGUAAGGGCUUAGAAACGUGACAAUGAAAACAAAUGUUGACUUUUCAGAUUAAAGAUAUUUUCACUUGGAUUAUUCCACCAGGCUACUCUCACAGUGGUACAUCCCAUCUUCCCAAUAUAGAAAAGUUACGAGUUUUCUGAGAAAUUUUGUUGAAAUGUCCCUAAUUUAUGGUUGACCAUAAAACGACAAUGAUGCAUUGUCAAGAGAUGUAUUCUAUGACACUUCUUCAGCUGAGAAUCAAAGAGGAGAAACACACACACGCUGCAGUUUUUACUUGUAAGAGCAGUCACAGAGAACUCACACGAGAGUGGGGGCCUUGUGAAGUGCGCUCUGCUCCUGCUCUGAUCUUUAUUUAUACAACAGUAGGUGCAUUUGUUCAUGACAUUGGAAUGUGGAUGUGUAUAUGUGUGUGUGUGUGCCAGGAGAGGCUUCUCUUCCUGGUACGAAGUGAAACUGCUUGCUCAGUUCUUAUCUAUCACUAGCAGGAACUGCUCCUUCCCUGCAUGAUAACGGGUCACAGAAAAAAACAACAGUCUGAGUCAUAAAGCGGUCAUCAUGCAGUAUUCUAUCUUUCGCAGACUUAUAUUAUUAAAAGAUUAUACUGACUACUAAGUACAAUUUUCUAUUGACAUGCAUAUUAAGUAGAAAAUCUUGAAUGAAUAAAUGAGUAUAAAAGUUUGUUAUGUUUUUUUUUUCUCAUUAGAUUUAUUCACUUUUUGCUUUUGGUUUUUUCUUUUGUAGAUGGAGUGACUGAGCAGAUGGGCUGAGUGGUCCUCUCCAUUACAGAUGUGAUCCAGACCAGUUGGAGACAGAAUAUCAUACAAUUUAAAAAAAAGAAAAACAACACCAACAAAACAAACAAAAACAAAAUUCUAAACUUUUAAUAUUGAUUUAAUAAAAUGAAUAAACCUGUCAUUUUAAUGCAAAGCUGCCUCUUGUUAUUUACAUUUUAGAAUCCUAAUGUUUAUUGGUAAGGUUAAAAAGGUUACAAAUAUCUGAAAAAACAUCAUCACAACAUUCAUCUUGGCCAUACAUAAAGAAUAACAAUAGUUUAAAGUUUUAUUAGUAAUUUGCUGUGUAUCAGCAGAAAUACCACUGAAGUCUUACUUCCCCUUAGCAGUGACCUCGCUGCUGUUUCAGUAUUGCGUUAGGGUGCAAAUAUGAUCAAGAAUCAAUGUCAGACUUCAACAUAUAUAUUCAGUUAAAUUCAGUGAUGGGAAUAACAGUGUUACCUUUUUCAGUAACAAGUAAUCUAACUAAUUACUAUUUCUAUCGUUACAACGCCAUUACCGUUACUAACAAGAAACUCGACCACUUCAAGAUGACACAGCAACAAGGUGCUAUAUACCAUUUUUUAAAUUGUGUUGAUAGGCCACGUAAAACCAGAGUCAUGAUAAACAAUAUAAUACGUGGUGUUUUUUCCUGAAUACUUUUGUCAUGUUUACUGUCCAAGGGCAGCACUAGCAAGCACUCUCUGCUUAUGGCCAAAAAUAAAAACAUAAAACAAAACAAAAGACACCCCUUUCAUGUUGGUGGAAAAAUGUACCAUGUCCACCAAUCAAAAAAUGAUAUGGCAACAUGACAUUUGGUCGAGAGAGAAAGAGCGAAAAGAAAGAGAGAGAGCGACUUUUGAGAUGUCUUGUGUAGUUAGUGUGUAGUGUAGUGGAUAGUUUUGUGUGUCAGAACAAUGAGGCGACUGCUGAAUGUUACAGGUGCUGCUAGAAAGCCACCAAAGGCAGAUUACAGUGUAAACGGUGUCUCCAGGUAGAAAACAGGAGGAGUGAUACACCUGUUGCUGCCAGACCUGCAGGCUGUGAUGUUCUCCUUUAUAGUCGACAGAAAUUCUUUUUUGGAGUGGCACAAAUAAUUUGUGUGGCAUCUUAUUUAAUGCAGAAUACCUGAUUGUUAUGUAAAUAGUUUGAAAUGGCUGCAAAUAACUUUGUUUGCAAAACUUGUGCAUAGG